rnacentral:rRNA from 1 species
GAUGAACGCUGGCGGCGUGCCUAAUACAUGCAAGUCGAGCGAACGGACGAGAAGCUUGCUUCUCUGAUGUUAGCGGCGGACGGGUGAGUAACACGUGGAUAACCUACCUAUAAGACUGGGAUAACUUCGGGAAACCGGAGCUAAUACCGGAUAAUAUUUUGAACCGCAUGGUUCAAAAGUGAAAGACGGUCUUGCUGUCACUUAUAGAUGGAUCCGCGCUGCAUUAGCUAGUUGGUAAGGUAACGGCUUACCAAGGCAACGACGCAUAGCCGACCUGAGAGGGUGAUCGGCCACACUGGAACUGAGACACGGUCCAGACUCCUACGGGAGGCAGCAGUAGGGAAUCUUCCGCAAUGGGCGAAAGCCUGACGGAGCAACGCCGCGGUAGUGAUGAAGGUCUUCGGAUCGUAAAACUCUGUUAUUAGGGAAGAACAUAUGUGUAAGUAACUGUGCACAUCUUGACGGUACCUAAUCAGAAAGCCACGGCUAACUACGUG